GAUGAACGCUGGCGGCGUGCCUAAUACAUGCAAGUAGAACGCUGAAGGAAGGAGCUUGCUCUUUCCGGAUGAGUUGCGAACGGGUGAGUAACGCGUAGGUAACCUGCCUGGUAGCGGGGGAUAACUAUUGGAAACGAUAGCUAAUACCGCAUAACAGUAGAUGUUGCAUGAUAUCUACUUAAAAGGUGCAAUUGCACCACUACCAGAUGGACCUGCGUUGUAUUAGCUAGUUGGUGAGGUAACGGCUCACCAAGGCGACGAUACAUAGCCGACCUGAGAGGGUGAUCGGCCACACUGGGACUGUGACACGGCCCAGACUCCUACGGGAGGCAGCAGUAGGGAAUCUUCGGCAAUGGACGGAAGUCUGACCGAGCAACGCCGCGUGAGUGAAGAAGGUUUUCGGAUCGUAAAGCUCUGUUGUAAGAGAAGAACGAGUGUGAGAGUGGAAAGUUCACACUGUGACGGUAUCUUACCAGAAAGGGACGGCUAACUACGUG
rnacentral:rRNA from 1 species